GCAACUCGACCCCAUGAAGUCGGAGUUGCUAGUAAUCGCAGAUCAGCAUUGCUGCGGUGAAUACGUUCCCGGGCCUUGUACACACCGCCCGUCACGUCACGAAAGUCGGUAACACCCGAAGCCGGUGGCCCAACCCCUUGUGGGAGGGAGCUGUCGAAGGUGGGACUGGCGAUUGGGACGAAGUCGUAACAAGGUAGCCGUACCGGAAGGUGCGGUUGGAUCACC
rnacentral:rRNA from 1 species